rnacentral:rRNA from 1 species
GACGAACGCUGGCGGCGUGCUUAACACAUGCAAGUCGAGCGAGAGAAAUUCCUUCGGGAAGGACUCUAGCGGCGGACGGGUGAGUAACACGUGGGUAACCUGCCUCAUAGAGGGGAAUAGCCUUUCGAAAGGAAGAUUAAUACCGCAUAAGAUUGUAGUAUCGCAUGAUGCAGCGAUUAAAGGAGUAAUCCGUUAUGAGAUGGACCCGCGUCGCAUUAGCUAGUUGGUGAGGUAACGGCUCACCAAGGCGACGAUGCGUAGCCGACCUGAGAGGGUGUUCGGCCAGAUUGGGACUGAGACACGGCCCAGACUCCUACGGGAGGCAGCAGUGGGGAAUAUUGCACAGUGGGGGAAACCCUGAUGCAGCAACGCCGCGUGAGUGGUGACGGUCUUCGGAAUGUAAAGCUCUGUCUUCAGGGACGAUAAUGACGGUACCUGAGGAGGAAGCCACGGCUAACUACGUGCCAGCCGCCGCCGUAA